UGGGGAAUAUUGGACAAUGGGCGCAAGCCUGAUCCAGCCAUGCCGCGUGAGUGAUGAAGGCCUUAGGGUUGUAAAGCUCUUUCGGCGGGGAAGAUAAUGACGGUACCCGCAGAAGAAGCCACGGCUAACUUCGUGCCAGCAGCCGCGGUAAUACGUAGGGGGCAAGCGUUGUCCGGAUUUACUGGGUGUAAAGGGCGCGCAGGCGGGAUAAAAAGUCAGUGGUGAAAUCCUACAGCUUAACUGUAGAACUGCCUUUGAUACUUUUAUUCUUGGAUUCGGGAGAGAGAGACGGAAUGCCAGGUGUAGUGGUGAAAUACGUAGAUAGCUGGAAGAACCCCAGUUGCGAAGGCGGUCUCUUGGUCCGACACUGACGCUGAGGCGCGAA
rnacentral:rRNA from 1 species